UCUUGUGUAAUAUGUUUUUUUUUUCAUUUAUUAAAAUAGUUAAAAGUAUGACAUUUUUAUUUUAAAAGUAUAUAUGUAUAAUAUAAAUUUAGACAAUUUAAGCUACGUCGCCUUGCUUCAAAAAGGCUCUCCACUCGCUUCUCGCCUAAGGCCAUAGGGUACCCUAUUGCCUUGCUGUAGCCUCCCGCCUUAACAACACUGAAUCCAACUCAUGUGCAAAAACAAUACUCACGAGUGUGCGUGAGUGUAAAGUGUCGUUUGGUGAAUUAUAUACAAUUUGAUUUGUCAUGUAAUAAAGUUAAUUCUUGUGAUACACCAUGCAACUCAACAUGCUCACACUCACAUAUUGUUUUCAUUUUAACUAAUAUGA
rnacentral:misc_RNA from 1 species